rnacentral:tRNA from 1 species
GCUAGCCUAUUUCAUUUGGUAGAGCAACUGAAUUGUAAUCAGUAGGUAGGGGUUUAAAUCCUCUGGCCAGCA